rnacentral:rRNA from 1 species
UGAGUAACGCGUGGGUAACCUGCCCUUAAGUCUGGGAUACCAUUUGGAAACAGAUGCUAAUACCGGAUAAAAGCUACUUUCGCAUGAAAGAAGUUUAAAAGGCGGCGUAAGCUGUCGCUAAAGGAUGGACCUGCGAUGCAUUAGCUAGUUGGUAAGGUAACGGCUUACCAAGGCGAUGAUGCAUAGCCGAGUUUAUAGACUGAUCGGCCACAUUGGGACUGAGACACGGCCCAAACUCCUACGGGAGGCAGCAGCG